AUCCUAGUGAGCACUUGUUGUUUUCUGUUUUUAAAAUUUUUCUAUAGCAGCCACCCUAAAUGGGUGUGAGAUGACAUCUGAUUGUGUGUAGGUUUUAUUUUUUUAUUUUUGGCUCCAGCUGUGGCGUAUGGAAGUUCCUGGAGAAGGGAUUGAACCUGUGCUAUAGCAGUGACCUGAGCCACAGAAGUGACAUGGCAUCCUUAAUCCACUGACCCACCAAGGGAACUCCCUCGUUGUGAUUUUGAUUUGCAUUUCUUUCUUUCUUUCUUUCUUUUUUUUUAAGGGCCAUUCCCACAGCAUAUGGAAGUUCCCAGGCAAUGGGUCAAAUAGGAGUUGCAGCUGCUGGCCAUAGCUACUGCCAUGCCACAUCCGAGCUGUGUCCAAGGCCCACACGACAGCUCACAGGAACAUCAGAUCCCUAAACCCACUGAGUGGGGCCAGGGAUCGAACCCAUAUCCUCAUGGAUACCAGUUGGGUUCAUUACCACUGAGCCUCAAUGGGAACUCCCUUGAUUUGCAUUUCUUUUUCCUUUUUUUUUUGGUCUUUUUGCUAUUUCUUAGGCUGCUCCUGUGGCAUGUGGAGGUUCCCAGGCUAGGGGUCGAAUCGGAGCCAUUGCUGCCAGCCUAUACCACAGCCACAGCAAUGCAGGAUUCGAGCUGUGUCUGCAACCUACACCACAGCUCAAGGCAAUGCCGGAUCCUUAACCCACUGAGCAAGGCCAGGGAUCAAACCCACAACCUCGUGGUUCCUAGUCAGAUUCGUUAACCACUGAGCCACGAUGGGAACUCCUGAUUUGCAUUUCUUUAAUGAUUAAUGACUUGAGCAUCUUUCCUAUGCUUGUUGGCCAUUUGUAUAUCUUUAUAUCUUUUGUUUGGUUGUUGUUGUUAUGGCCACACCUGCAGCACAUGGAAACUCCUGGGCCAAGAAUUGAAUAGAAGCCACAGCUGCUACAUACUCUGCAGCUUCGCAACACCAGAUGCUUUAAUCCACUGUACUGGGCCGGGGAUCAAAAUUGUGCUUCCUCAUGACCCAAGCUGUUGCAGUCGGAUUCUUAACCUGCUCUGCCAUAAUUGGUACUCUUGUAUAUUUUUUAAAGAGAAAUAUAUUUUCAUGUCCUUUCCUCUUUUAAAAAAUUAGGUUAUUUGGAAGUUCCCUUUAGUGGCUCAGUGGUAACGAACUCAACUAGUAUCCAUAAGGACUCCGGUUUGAUCCAUGGCCUUGCUCAGUGGGCUUAAGCCGUGAGCUGUGGUAUAGGUUGCAGACCUGGCUCGGAUUUGGUACUGCUGUGGCUAUGGCUGUGGCCUGCAGGUGCAGCUCCAAUUCAACUCCUAGCCUGGGAACUUCCAUAUGCUGAAGGUGUGGCCCUAAAAAAAGACAAAAAAAAAAAAAUCAAUCCAGUUAUUUGAAUUUAUGUUGUUGAGUUAUAGACAUUCUUUUUUUUUUCUCAUUUUGCUUUUUGAGGGCCCCACUCACAGCACAUGGAGGUUUCCAGACUAGGGGUUGAAUUGGAGCUGUAGCCACUUGCCUACACCAGAGCCACAGCAACUUGGGAUCUGAGCCUCGUCUAUGACCUACACCACAGCUCAAGGCAACACCAGAUCCUUAACCCACUGAGUGAGGCCACGGAUCAAACCUACAACCUCAUGGUUCCUAGUUGGAUUCGUUUCUGCUGUGCCAUGAUGGGAACUCCCGAGUUAUAGAAAUUCUUUUAAUAUUUUUGGAUAUUAAUUCAUCAGGUAUUUAAGUUGCAUUUAUUUUCUUCCAUUCCAUAGAUUACUCUUUCACUCUGUUGAUAGUGUCUUUUUUUAAAAUUUAAUUUUAUUGGAGUUUAGUUGAUUUACAUUGUUGCAUUAGUUUCAGGUGUACAGCAAAGUGAAUCAGUCAUACAUAUAAAUAUAUCCAUUCUUUUUUUCCCGUACAGGUUAUUAUAAACUAUUGAGUAGAUUUUCUUGUGUGAUUGUAUCUUUUGAUGUAUAGAAGUUUUAAAUUUUGAUGUAGUCGAAUAUACCUAUUUUUGCUUUUGUUGCCUGUUCUUUGGGUGUUAUAUCUAAGACAUCAUUGUCAAAUCCAAUGUCAUAAAGCUUUCCUUGUUUUCAUCUAAGAAUUUCAUAGUUUUAGAUCUUAGAUUUAGUCUUUUGAUCCAUAAUGAGUUAAUUUUUUUCUGUAGUCUACGGUAAGGAUCAAAUUUCAUUCUUUUUUUGCAUAUGGAUAUCCAGUUUUAUCAACAGUUUUUUUUAUCCAUUCAGUUGUCUUGACACCCCUACCAAAAAUCCUUUGACUAUGUCUGUGAGGGUUAGAAGUAUAUUCUUGAGCCUUCCUCUUUGUGUACGAAACAUGCUGUCUGCCAUAUCAGUAAACACAGGAUGUUGUAACCAUCAAGCCCUCAGCCAUUGCCGCUGUGGGGUUUCAGAAUGGAGAAAAGCAGGAUACUGGCCCUAGAUAGUUAAGGUGCAUAUCAAAGCGGUGAUUUCAGUGAGCCCAGACUUUUGCAUCUUCCCAUAAUACAUUGAAAACACACUAAAUUCAUUAACUUGAGAUGUCUGGUUUUCUUUAAUUAACAGCAAUCUUUUGAUGUUCUGAAUACCUGGUUUUGGUUGCAAAGCCCGCUGUAUAUAUCCUAGCUCCUCCUUUACCUCUUCAGACAGUCCCUUAGAUUUCUCUGUGAGUAUGUCUUCCAGGCUUAAGUCCUCAGUUUUGUGCACCAAAUAAAACCUAAAUCUCAACUUAUAGGUUGUGUCUUUUUUUUUCAGUUGACAUCUCAUUAACCAAGUGCCUACUAAUCUUCUGAAUCACCCUACUUCUCCUUAUUUCUGCCACUGCCACCUUGGCUUAUAUUAUCAUCCUAUCAUCCAUGCUAUAGAAAUAGCCUGGAAAAUUGUUUCCUCACAUAUACUUAAAAAAAAAAAAAAA
rnacentral:lncRNA from 1 species